rnacentral:rRNA from 1 species
GCAAGUCGAGCGCGCCCUUCGGGGUGAGCGGCGGACGGGUGAGUAACGCGUGGGAAUAUGCCCUUCUCUAAGGAAUAGCCUCUGGAAACGGAGAGUAAUACCUUAUACGCCCUUCGGGGGAAAGAUUUAUCGGGAAAGGAUUGGCCCGCGUUAGAUUAGAUAGUUGGUGGGGUAAUGGCCUACCAAGACUGUGAUCAAUAGCUGAUUUGAGAGGAUGAUC